GCUGAUGUAGCUCAGUGGUAGAGCACUCCCUUGGUAAGGGAGAGGUCGGAAGUUCAAUCCUUCUCAUCAGCACCA
rnacentral:tRNA from 1 species